AUGGGACCGGCGGCCGAACCCCGAGCGCUGGUGCCUCAUGACGGUGGCAGGCUCCUGGGUAACCCCCUCCUCGUCCCCCGGCAGCACCUCUCCCGUCAAGGCAGACGUCCGGGGCUGAGGCGAGGGCUGCUCUCCGCCAGCGUGGCCCUCCUCAGCGCUGCAGGUGUCCAUCUUGUUCCACCUCAGGAUUUCAUCGAAUGCCCAUCUCCCCGAUGAAGUCUUUUAACUCUGAUUUUGGUAUGAGGAUGAUUAGAAGAUUUUUGUGAUAAAGUCAACAGAUCACUGUAAAAAGGAGGUUUUUUAUCUAAGUUUUAGAAUAAGAAAUACAUAAUAYAAGUAAUUCAGGUUGUACAUAAACAAAGCUAUAUAUGAUUACUAAUAUUCAGCACUGGUACUGCUGUUUUUCCUUUCUGUUUCGGUGCCUUAUUAGGGCAGUUUGUUUUCUGGAAGAACAUUUCUGAAACUACCUGUUGCAAUAACAGAGAAAAUGCCAGAGAAAGCACCACAAAAGCAGUGAAUUACGCCGUGUCUCCCUGUGACUGACAGUGUUUCCUUCUGGCUCACAAGCUCGCAGGCUGUAUUUGAUAUGAAUUCCUUUCUUGCUGGAAUUUUUUGGAGCUGCAUCCAGUGCUAUUUUUAGGGCCUGAUUUAUGUUCUGCAUGGUUCCGUCUUAUUGGGAAGCUUGUAGCCCUGGAACAGUUCAUGUAUAUGACAUGUAAUUUUAGUAAAUGUUAUUUAAAAUAAUAAUUAUUUUACAAAUCCAAAGAUCCCCUAAUCUGCCGUGGGCUGUGUGAUUUGCUAUAAAACAUAGUAGAGGAUUCUGGUAUUUGGAGGAGUCUGGUUACAAAGCUAGGUGUGCCUCUAAUAUAUCCAGUUUCUCCCUUUUAGCGCAGAAGGCCUUAUAGUAGUCCAACUAAUCAUACUUAAAAUAUUUUUWGUGCCCCAGGACAUUUUUCACCUGUCUGUAUAUGCACUUACRUUUAAGCUGUUACAUCCUACUGUUGAAACAUUGCAGCUCUGUAAUGACUUCAGAGAAACCAACAAAUUUGUGCUAAAUAAGUUCUGUAAGAUUGCAUUAUAUCAUUUUAAGGAGUUAAUUCAAAGGAAGCAUUUUUGAAAAGGAAGCUGUUUCAGGUUAUGUUGGUUCUUCAUAUCAGUCUCCACUUGAGUGCGUUUUUUUAAYGGUUGCAGGAAUGUUACUUUCAAUGUUUUAAGA
rnacentral:lncRNA from 1 species